rnacentral:lncRNA from 10 species
CUGAAGAAUUCAGUGUUGCCAUUACCAGUCAGUAAUUCCACUCAAUUAGGACAAUAGACUUCCAUUUAUUACUGAACUCCUAAUUGCUACUCAUUUUCCUGGUUAGUAAUUGCCAAUCCUAUCAGACAAUGUGCUUAAAGAAAAUUCUGCCAUGAAAUUAUAUUUCUCUCCAUCACGGGAAAGGUGGAAUCAGAGUCCUUACGUGGUCAGGAGUUGGGUCCUCUUCUCUAGCUCCAUGCGUCUCCAGGCUCGGGGGUUUUAAAGGCUGGUGUGCCCCAGGGUUGGCUGCUGGUGCUGCGAUCCGCGGGAGACUUGCCCACAAAGGAAAGGCGUAUCCAGGUAGCCAGAGAAUCCCAAAGCCAAACCUAGCCGAAGAGGAUGCAAAAACAAAACCACCCGAAGCGGUCUCCGCAUUUCCAGAAGACUAAGUUCAAAGUCUCCAGGCAGGGCGCAUUUUAGGUCUUGAGGUGUACGUCCACGUCAGGGGGCAGGUUCGGCAUCUGCUGCUUCUCAGCCUCAGGAGACUCAAGACGGAAGUCCGAGGGUGGCAGCCGUGCGGUACCACGGCUGGAGCCAGCCGGCCUCUGCCUCUGCCUCCCCGGGUCUGGCUUCCGAGGUGGGUUCGCGGGCACUGGCAGGUGCCGGGGAAACUUGCCGGCACGCCGUCCGCCGCCUCUGGACGCCCGGGCAGCCCCGCACUGGAGCUGGAACGAGUCCUGGCAGCCGGCUCCGCGGGAGCUCCCGGGCGGCGAUCAGACGCGAGCGAUCUACCCGCGGCUCGCGGAUGCCUCGGCCCAGGAGCUGCGCGCCGCCCGCCCCAGCCCCGCCCCGGCCCGCGGAGCGCCCCGGCCCGCCUCGCUCCUCAUGACCGUCUCCUAAUUAGCUCAGAAGACUGCAACUCGCCGGCUAGCAAAGACACCCACGGUGGGGAAACUUGACAAUUUAUUCCCGGGCCCGGGGGAGGUCACCUGCAGUGCACCAGCGGAUUGGCUGCUGCGCGGGUUGCGGCGGCAAAGCGCGCAGGCAAAGCGCGCAGGCAGAGCGCGCGCAGCUUCUGAUCCGCUCUGCCAUCCCGGCAAGGCACGGGGCGGGGAGGGCCGCCCCGAAGCAGCCCGCGGCUCAGUACCGUGUGAAAGGGACGGUGUCGGUGCCGGAACCACAAAACUGCCCCACCUCUCCAGAUUGGGUGGUUUGGAAGAGAUGCUCUUUGCUGUUUGGGUUUUUAGACGUCACACUCUGUCUUCCAGUUGACAAUGGGCUCAAGCCAUUUACAGCCGGAAGAUGCUCUGAAUGAAGUAUCUACUCCAACUUCAUGUUACAGAGGAGGGAACUGAAGCAGAAAGGAUGAAGGAGCUGUGAAGAUGAUCAUCUCUAUUGAAGGCUCAGCCAUGAGGCAGUCCGUGAGCCUCCUGGGAAGCCUAGAGGUUUGUUUCUACAUGUCUGGUGGCUGCAGAGUUUGGAGAGCCGUGCCAACUGCAGUACCAGCCAAAUUGAGGAAUGGGGGAUUAUCUGCUCACAGCCAGAUCAGGGUGAGAGAAAAGAGACCAGCAAAUAGCCCUGACACAUGCGUAGACUACAAAGUAUGUUGCAGGUGGGGGGAGCAUAAACAAACGCAUGGAGCAUAUUAAGAAGAGAGUCGGGGCAGGCGGGGUGGCUCAUGCCUGUAACCCCAGCACUUUCGGAGGCUGAGGCGGGAGAAUCACUUGAGGUCAGGAGUUUGAGACCAGCCUAGCCAACAUGGUGAAACCCUGUCUCUACUAAAAAUAUAUAAAGUUAGUCAGGCGUGAUGGCCAGUGCCUGUAAUCCCAGCUACCUGGGUGGCUGAGGCAGAAGAACCGCUUGAACCUGGAGGUGGAGGUUGCGGUGAGCUGAGAUAGCACCACUGCACUCCAGCCUGGGGGACAGAGUGAGACCCUGUCUCAAAACAAACAAACAAACAAACAAACAAACAAAGACUGGGUAAACCCGUUGCUAGGAACAAAAGCUUCCUGUCAAGGAGUAGCCUGGUGUGGGUCUUGGAACUUUCCUCCAGCAAAGCGGGCAGCAUGGCCUAUGAACCAAAAGCUUUGAAACAGACACCCACAAAUGGGCUCUGUCACACCACGUCUGGUGUCACAUUCAGGAGCACCUAAUCUUUCACAUUUGCCUUGGGACCCAUCUGGGGUGGGGGCAGGUGGGGUGGGGACAGGUGGGGUGGGUAUCAGCAGCCUCUCUUCCUGAGCCUUACUCAAGUCACACACAAAGGCAGGCCAGGACUGGAACCAACUUUUCUGUCUUAGUUCCAAGCACUUUGCCACCCAUGUUGCCAAUCUAGGUAAAAUUGUAAAUCUGAAAGAUGACACCUUAACUACAAGUUCCUUUAACUCUGGAGAGAGUUAAAUAAAAAUAAUGUAGUGGGCACUCUGCUUACUAGAAGUGUUAUAAAUAUCAAUACAAUGAAACAUUUGAAACCGAUGGCACUCUGAAAGGACAGCUAUGGUAAAUGAGGAAAACAACACGAAAAAGGCCAUUAUUUUGCUUAUUGGGAGAGUUUUCCAUUCACAACUACACGUAUGUUUGUUACAACUGGGAAAUCUGUUAUGUUUUGUUGACAACUCAGACUGUUUCUACAUUCCUGCCACAUUGCUGGGAGAUUUCCAGGCUCAAGGAGAUAAUACGUUCAUGUGUUUAGGCACCAGGGCUUUUAGUGUAUUUACGAUUUAACAGAAGUUUCUUUUCGGUCAUAAAAUAUAAAACUAUGAUGACCGGCUCAAAGGUCUGGAGGGACGAGCUUGGGAAAAGGAAAUUACCCUACUAGUCUAACAAUGCUACCCUUCUCUUCAAAACAGAUCCUCAGAGCUGCUUCAACCACUACCCUAUAUCCAAAGAGUUUCUAAAAUAAAGGAACAGUAUGCCCCCAAAAGUUCUAACAACCUCUAGGGAGAUAGGGGAUGGUAAGAACAAGGCAGUUUGAGUCAGAAAGAUCUGAGUUCUGA